rnacentral:ncRNA from 1 species
UAAAAGUUUUUAAGCUUUAAUUUAAUAUUAAAAAUUUAAUUUAAAUGUAAAUUUUAGUUGGAAUUAAGUUAUAUUUAGAUAAUAGAUUUAAUUGGAGUUACAAUAAAUAAUUUUAUAUAUUUGGUUAUUCAAGAUAUAGUAAUUUUUUAGAGUACAAACAAAAUUUGUGCCAGCAGUUGCGGUUACACAGAUUGUGCAAUUUUAAAUGGUUGGAAACAGUUAAAAUUUUUAUUAGACUAUAAGUUGGAUUUAUUAGGUGAAAUUUUAAAUUUAUAAAUGUCUAUAUUUUGAGGCUGGGAAAUUUAAUAACAAACUAGGAUUAGAUACCCUAUUAUAUAAAUGUAUGGUUUUAUUUCUAAUUAGUAUUAGUUAUGUUCUUGAAAAUUAAUAAAGUUGGCGGUAUUUUAGUCUGUUCAGAGGAACCUGUUCUGUAAUUGAUAUUCCACGAUUUGAUUUACUUGUUUUUUUAGUUUGCGUAUGGCUGUAGUUUGAAUAUAUUUGUUGAUUUAUAAUAUUCAGGAUUUGUAUAUAAAUUAAAUCAGGUCAAUAUGUAGUUUAUAGACAAGAAGAAAUGGGUUACUUUUAAUUUAUUAAUGGAUUUUGAAUUUUAAUGUUUAAUUGAAAAUGGAUUUGAUGGUAAAUUUAUUAAAUAAAUAAAUUGAUUAAAGCUCUAAAAUAUGCACAUAUCGCCCGUCGCUUUCACUUUAAAGUGAAAUAAGUCGUAACAUAGUAGAUGUACUGGAAAGUGUCUCUAGAAAGAA